rnacentral:lncRNA from 10 species
GGGCACGCGCGGGCUACCGGGGCGGAGGCGUACGGGGGCGGCGAGCGGGGCUCGGCUCCUCCUCGUCCCGCGCCAGCGCCGCGCCCGGCCGCAUUCUCGGGGCCCGAGGCUCAGCCGCUCGCGGUGGAGAAAGCAGGCCGCGGAGGAGGCGGGCGCCCAGGCCUGCCCGGACAGGAAGUGGGCCCAGCUUUCCCACUCCUCGCUCCGCUCCUUCCUCCGCGGGAAGGGCAGGCCCCGGAGGCAGCGAGCGCCCCGGGGGUGGCCGGGCAGCCGGAUGCUCCCGGGGUUGCGGGCUGUGGCCCCGGGGGCUGAGGGCGGCGCGGGUGCGGCGGAAGCAGGGAAGCCGCGAACCGGCCUUCUGGCUGGCCACAGCGCCCUGCACGGACGAUCAGUGAAUGGAGAUUACUCAAGUAUUUAUCGAGAACUUGCAGUGGGCUAGGCACAGUUCAGGUAGAUCAACAAACCGAAAGACCCUGCCCUAGGGGAGCUUUCGCUCCAAUGCGGGGAGAGGGUGGAUGAUUGCAGUUUUGCCCAGUAAUUUUUGGGACCCUCAUGCCACCAUUAAUUAGCUACACACAUUUCACCGAAAGUCUACCUUACAUAUUAAUCAGAAGAAGUGGAAGAAUAAACACAGAAGAAGCAAAAAAGGAAGGAACUUUCUCACUGAAAGUUUCUAUUUAAUAUUAAGUCUUAAAAGUACUCCUGGAAGGACAAAAGGUGUUCUUAAUAAAUUAUAUUCGCAAAUAUUGGAUUUAAUCCUACCAGUAAUGAAGCAGUCAGUUACUUUCUAGAUGUGCAGAAAUACGUAAUGAACAAAAAAAACUAAUUCCUAUUCCAUUUUUUAUUAGGUCCACAGUUAUUUCACUUCUAAAUAAAUAUGGUUUUUUAAAAGUGGCACGCGGUGGAAUGUAAUUGAGACAGGAUGGAGUUCCUAGAGAAAUUUUACUUCCUCAAUCUGCACUCCACCUUACUUAAAAUACAGUCUUGGGUCUGUAAUUCCCUUAUCUGACUCUCAAGGAAAUGACAAAGUAAUGCCUAGAUUGGACUAAACCUCAUUUAACUUCAAGGCUGACCUUUCUCAAAGUUGAACCUUCGUCUUGUGAGGAACAGAAAGAUCAAGAACUCUGAAGCACCUCGACUUUCCACCUGUGAAGAUGUGUUCAAAUUUGCAACGUGCGGCCACACCUAUGAGGUCACUCCCUCUGGAGGAAACCAGCUGCCACUUUGUGAGGAUACUCAUAGUCCUGUGGAGGCAUAUCCUCCAUAUGGCUGAGACCUCCUGCGAACAACCAUCACUGACUUGCCAGACAUGAGUGUGCCACCUUGGAAGCAGAUUUUCCAGCCCCAGUUAAGCCUUCAGAUGACAUCAGCCCCUGCUAAUCUCUUGACUACAACCUCAUGAGAGACCCUGAGCCAGAACUAGCCAGGCUUACCCCUCAUGGUUACAAAGUGGCUGCAACAGCUCCAGGUGUUCUAUCCUUUAACACAGAAUAACUCAAACAACAAGACCCAAUAUUCAGACAAGAAGGAAAGGGACUUUUGGAGAGUGAAGAAAACUUUCCUAGAAACCUCAAACUUCUCCCCAUGCCUUAUUGGCCAGAUUGUAUCCCAUGCCCAUUUCUAAACCAAUCAUUGGCAAAGUGAGUGGAAUUGACGUGAUUAGAUUAACUUUACCAAGAAUGCAUCCUCAGAGAGGCUGAGAAAAAGUCCAGCCUCCUUUGAAGAGCCUGGCUACCUUUCACCUGAACAAAACAAGAAUUCUGAUGAAAAAUGGAGAAUGUAUGUGGAGCAGGCACCCGGAGUGUCUAUGCCAGGAUUUUUUUUCAGUGCGUUUCACCGGUUAUAUUUUUGUCUCUUUACCUUACAAGAUAUGUGGCACGUUUGCCUAAAACAAGCCUUGCUUUCUGAUUUCUGUGCACUAGGCACUUAAACCUUGCAAAUGUCGCUUACCUAACAGUCACUGUCAAGGAGUACCUGGCUAAAGAAUCUCCAGCUAGACAAAGUAGAAGUGUCUGUGCUCUGGCAGUUGAAUAUAUUGUAUCAGGCUCAACAGCACCUUUCACCAAAGGAUGAGACUUCACAACCAUUAGAUCUUCUUUUAUUUUGUUUUUAUUAAAAAAAAAAAUUUUAACACACCAUUGCUAACUUGAAGCCAUUAGAUCUUCUUACCCCCAAUACCACAAAAGUUUAGUGGAAUCAGGGGUAUACCAAGGCAGGUGGAGUAGGGGAGCUGGGAGUGGUCAGCCCCCAGGGCAGGCAAUGAGGGAUUGUGAAUCUGUGAAGAAUUUUAAAGCAAUGAUACAGCUCUAAAUGCAAUGUACUAUCCUGGACUUAGCCCUGGAAAAGAAAAAAGAUAUUAGUGGAAAAACUGGUAAAAUUCAAAUAAUGUCUGUAGUUUGGUUAAUAGUAUUAUACCAAUGUUAAUUUCUGUGUUUUGAUAAAUGUACCAUGGUUAUGUAAGCUGGAUGAAAGAUAUGUGGGAAAUCUCUCUACUAUUUCUGCAACUCUCCUGUAAACCUAAAAAUGUUUCAAAAUAAAAGAUUUAAUGCUAAAAUUGA